rnacentral:rRNA from 1 species
GACGAACGCUGGCGGCGUGCUUAACACAUGCAAGUCGAACGAUGAACCACUUCGGUGGGGAUUAGUGGCGAACGGGUGAGUAACACGUGGGCAAUCUGCCCUUCACUCUGGGACAAGCCCUGGAAACGGGGUCUAAUACCGGAUAACACUGCCAUGGGCAUCUGUGGUGGUUAAAAGCUCCGGCGGUGAAGGAUGAGCCCGCGGCCUAUCAGCUUGUUGGUGAGGUAAUGGCNCACCAAGGCGACGACGGGUAGCCGGCCUGAGAGGGCGACCGGCCACACUGGGACUGAGACACGGCCCAGACUCCUACGGGAGGCAGCAGUGGGGAAUAUUGCACAAUGGGCGAAAGCCUGAUGCAGCGACGCCGCGUGAGGGAUGACGGCCUCGGUUGUAAC